rnacentral:rRNA from 1 species
UACGAGGGGGGCAAAUGUUGUUCGGAAUCACUGGGCGUAAAGGGAGCGUGGGCGGGUUCUUAAGUUAGGUGUUUAAUCCCGGGGCCCAACCCCGGACCGGCACUUAAAACUGGGAAUCUUGAAUAGUGGAGAGGUCAGUGGAAUUGGGGGUGUAGCGGUGGAAUGCGUAGAGAUCCCCAAGAACACCAGUUGCGAAGGCGGCUGACUGGACACAUAUUGACGCUGAGGCUCGAAAGCAUGGGGAGCAAACAGG